AGUGAACGCUGGCGGUAGGCCUAACACAUGCAAGUCGAACGGCAGCACAGUAAGAGCUUGCUCUUACGGGUGGCGAGUGGCGGACGGGUGAGGAAUACAUCGGAAUCUACUUUUUCGUGGGGGAUAACGUAGGGAAACUUACGCUAAUACCGCAUACGACCUACGGGUGAAAGCAGGGGAUCUUCGGACCUUGCGCGGUUGAAUGAGCCGAUGUCGGAUUAGCUAGUUGGCGGGGCAAAGGCCCACCAAGGCGACGAUCCGUAGCUGGUCUGAGAGGAUGAUCAGCCACACUGGAACUGAGACACGGUCCAGACUCCUACGGGAGGCAGCAGUGGGGAAUAUUGGACAAUGGGCGCAAGCCUGAUCCAGCCAUACCGCGUGGGUGAAGAAGGCCUUCGGGUUGUAAAGCCCUUUUGUUGGGAAAGAAAAGCAGCAGGUUAAUACCCCGCUGUUCUGACGGUACCCAAAGAAUAAGCACCGGCUAACUUCGUG
rnacentral:rRNA from 1 species